rnacentral:lncRNA from 10 species
CAUACCUGUAGUCCCAGCUACUCGAGAGGCUGAGGCAGAAUCGCUUGAACCCGAGAGGUGAGGUUGCAGUGAGCCAAGGUCAUGCCACUGCACUCCAGUCUGAGCAAGAGAGCAAGAUUCCAUGAUAAAUUUCAAAAUGCAGAAUUUAUUUUAGCAACAAUUUUCUAACUCCAAUGAAUAAUAAAUUAACAACGAAAGAGGAGCAAAAAUUAUUCCAUUUGCUUGAAAAUUGUUAAACAUCUUUCUAUAAUAAAUCAUGAGUAAAGUCAAAAGUAAAAACUGAAUGUAUAAACAAAUUGGAGCUGAAAGACAAGGAGAACAAGAUUUAUAGGAUGUGGUCAAAGCAAUGAAACGGAAGAGUUCCCUGAUUCCCCUUGCAGGGCGUGCGACAGGGGUGUGGCUCACCUGUUCAGUAGCCCCCUCUGCAGAAACCCCUUGCGAGAGGGGGAGCACGCAGAUGGGCAAGUGCAGAGGCCGGGGUGAGGGCUUUGGGCUCUGGCUCUGCGGUAGCGUCUAGAGGUGGGUGCCUGCAACCCCAGUGUUACAAAGCUCUUUCAGCUUGGCCACCACAGACAGCUGGAGUGUUAACCAGCUCAAUGGACCUUCUGCUUUUUCACAAGGGCAAAGGACCAGGGGACAGCUUUCUGUAUUCCGAGCUCUUUUCCAGAAUCCAGGAAAAAUCGGGUCACACACGGACUUGAAGGAUGAAUGCGAGGUUUUAUUGAGUGGUGGAAAUGGCUUUCAGCAGGAUGGAUGGGGAGCUGGAAGGGUGGGGAUGGAUGAAGUGGGAAGGUGAUCUUCCCCUGGAGUUGGGCCGCCCAGGGGCUGGACUCCGCUCUGACUGCCCCGAGCCAAACAUCUCUCGGUGUCCAGACGUCCCUCCUCUUCUCUCUUUCUCUGCUACGUCGUUUUGCCGUCAGUCGGCUUGCCUCGUAUCUCCUCACCUGCUGGUAUGCUCUGGAGGUUGGGGUUUGGGGUUUAUAUGGGGGCAGGAUAGGGGGCGUGGUGGGUCAAAAAGCAACUUUUUGGGCCCCAAACAGAAACGCCUCUUCUCAUUUAGGGCCGCGGGUAUCCAGGCUUGAGGGUGGGGCCUUAGCCAGGGAACCGCCCUCUUCUACUCAGUAUUUCCGUCUCCUGUUCGUGUCAGCAAUACACAGAAGAAAAUCCCAGACUGCAAAGUGCUGUACUUCUUGAAGCACUUGUGAAAACUGACUUUAAACUUAACAAAAAAUAACUGUGAGAAAGAGUGGAUAGGGAGAAAUUUAGAUGAAUAGUUGAUUGAGACUAUAUUUAUUUUUAAUAAUAACACCAAUAAUAACUAAAAUAUAGCAUAACUUUAUGGAAGGCACUGUUUUAUAUGUAGAACAUUUGUUAACUCAUUUAAUCAUCACUUCAAACCAAGAGAUAGAUACUUUUAUUAUUCCCCUUUUAAAGUUGAAGAAGCCAAGGCACAGAUGAGUCUAAUAACUUUCCCAACACUACCCAAUUAGCAUGUCAGACAUAGGAACCUAACGCAUGCAAUCAUUGUCCAAAAUCCAUGCUCUUAAUAACUAUGCUACACAUCUGCUGUUAAGUGUACCUGCUUCUCUGCCUGGCACAUGUCGGCAGAUGAAUAUAAAGUGGAUGAUUAUGAACUGUUAGUUACAAUCUAGAUUUGUGCCAUAAUGGGAAAAAUACUAAUCUCAAAUGGAACAUGUUUAUCUUUGUUUAGUUAAAUAUAGUUUGCUUCAUAAACCAAAUCUUUUGGAUCACGGAAUCACAGUUGGUGGUAAGAUUGGGAAUCACCACUAUAGCCUCCCUACAAAAAUAGCUCUUACCUCCAUACCCUCUACCCCAUUCCAACUGCAAAUGCCCUAGUUUAUUCCUUCCUUUCCUCUUACUUGGGCUGUUAUAAAAGGCUUCUAACUAGGCUUCCAUUAUUUUCUCUCUCUUGAUUAUAUUCAUUGCUACUCAAGUAAUUAAUCCUGCUAAAACAUUUUAAUACAUCUCUAUUGACAUCCUAAGUAUAAACUUCCUUACCAUGGCAUUAAGCCCUCUGAAAUACAACUGCAACCUGUAUCCUAAGUCUUAACUUUCAUUACUGCUUCACAAAAUGCCUGUGUCAAUCCAGAUGUACUAACUCUUACUAUUAAUCAUGGCAAUUAGAUAUAAGGUUCUGAAUUGUUGACUCCAUGGGUCCAAAUUUUGACUCUGCCAAUAAUUAGAUCUAUGACUUCAAGUCCAUUCUUUACCCUCUCUGAAACUUAAUCCCUUAGUUCGAAAAGAUCUUUAUUCAUUCAAAUCAUGGCAAGAAACUCCUUCAGGAACACAGGAGAUAGUGGUACCAAAAACAGAUAACCACGCAAACUAUGCAAACUUGGAAAAGUGCAUUGCUUUGUCAAAGUUCAUUAAGUAGGUCUUAAUAUUUUAGCAAAAGAAAAUCUUCCAUCUGAACACAGGGCAUGACAAAGCUCAUUUCACACAAUGGAAGGAAGGCUUUUUUUCUUGUUUCAUGUUUGUAUGUUUCUGACACUGCAGUAUUAACAUUUUAAAUUGAAUCUUUAAAUGAUUUUUCUGAUGUCAACAACAUUAUUGGGAAGGCCAAGCUCGGUAGAUGACCUUAACUGAGGUGGUUACAGCAUUGUUCCCGGUAAUUCGGCUUUGUGAUAUAUCCUUCUUCUCCUAGGUAUUAAGGUCUGGUUUGAAUUAAAGUCCGCAGCAUACUCACAGCUGUGGGGAGUAACUGAAAGGACUUGUUUUCAUCUGAUGGCCAAAAGACUUUCUUGUAACAUACUUUUUAAUUGAACUCUUAGCUUCUACCUAUUUCCAUUUCUUUUUUUCCAGGUACUAAGUUAUCUCUCCCUUAUUUUAUACAACUUCCUAUCUUCCUACCUACUCCCAAAUUAAUAAAUCCCAAUUAAUCAAUCAACUCCCAAUUAAUCAAUUAUCUCCCAAUUAAUCAAUCUCUGCUAAGAGUUCCUUACCCUUCCACUGAGCAUGGCUACUUUGAUCCUUUUACCCCAAACAUAAGUAUUUAUAAUAUUUUUAUACCUUUGUAUAGUAUCCAUUUUAUAAUUUUACCAUAUUCUUUAAUAGCGACUCAACUGCACUUCUCUGAUAUUAAGACCAUGGAUAAUAUAACUCAAGAGUACGUUUUUUUCAUACCAACAAUUCCAUGGUUGGCAGUGUCCAAGUGGUUAAAAACAUGUCUCUAAAAUUAAUAAAACCUGGGUUUGAGUCCUAGUUCUGUCAUUUAAUAAUUGUGUGAGUUUGGGAAAUUUAAGUCAUAAAACUCUAGAUUUUAAUCUCAGACAUUUUCUUUUUGGAAACAAUUAAAGUCUCUUUGUGCUGCAUCAGAAUUCACAAAAAAGCUAUCCAGUGUCCAUUUACAUUAAUUAUACUGGUGAUUGACUAUGGCUAUGCCAGAGAAUGUAUUCCAGGCUCAAGUUCUACUUUUUGAUGACUGUUCUCAGGAUCAUCAGACACCUGUCCGAUGUAGCAGCUGGAAUAUUUAAGCAUCACAGUGCUUUUAAAAUAGCAGACAAUUGCUGUGGCUGAAGCCUUCAGAUGACUGCAGCCACAGCUGACAGCUUAACUGCAAUUUUAUGAAAGACUCUGAGCCAGAACCACCCAGCUAACUCCCUCCUGGAUUCCUGACCAUGAGAAACUGUGUGUGAUAAAUGUCGAUUGUCAUAUAAGCUGCUAAAUUUGGGGGCAAUUUGUUAUGCAGCCUUAGAUAACUAUUACAUUAGAGAAUAGGAGAACUGACAAAAUGUAGAGAUUCCAUUUAUCACUUUAAAAAAUCUUUAUUUUCCCACUUAUAGAACAUUAAAUACAUUUUCUGCAAAACAAACAAACUAAAAACUUGGAAAAUAUAAAAGCACCUUUAAUCACACCACUCAAAGGAAUACUGUUAACCUCCAAUGGAUGUCUCCAUUGCUUCUUCAGUAGAAUCCCCCCAAAAAUGUUUUUAUGGGUUGAAAGCAUUAAAAAGAGUCUCUAUUUGGGUAGACUCAUUUCUAGGUAGUGAGAUUGUAUCUUACUCUUCAUGGUAUCAACCCCAAGAGCUGACACAUACUAUGUGCUAAUAAAAAUGUUUAGGGGAUAGUUCAUCAGUCUUAUUAGAAAUCAGACAAAAUCAAAAUAUAUUACCAAAUGAACUCAAUUCCCCAUAGUACCUGCUGUGAAGCAGGACAUUUAGAAUGUAAAAUGGGGAAAUAAUUUUACUCUCCUGCAUUUGUACAGAGAACAUUUGAGUAACAGUUUUCCCAAGCAAAGUAAACCAAAUAUUUAUCUGGUGGAUUUAGGCAGCAGAACACAACACAGAGAGUUUACAUGUUUCAAGAAGUUACAUACCUCCUGCAAGCGAUAUAACCUAAUAUCCAAAUUAUCUUAGUCAAUUUGAGCUUCUAUAACAAAGUACUAUAAACUGGGUGACAUAAACAAUAGAAAUUUAUUUCUCACAGUUCUGGAGACUGAAGUCUGAGUUCACGGUGCUAGAACGGUGAGGGACUGGUGAGGGUCCUCUUCUGGUUGCAGACUGCCAGCUUCCCAUUGCACCCUCAUAUGGUGGAAAGACAGCUAGCUAGCUCUCUGGUCUCUUCUUUUAAGAGCACUAAUCCCAUUCAUGAGGGCUCCACUGUCCAAAGGCCCUUCCAUCAACUACUAUCACAUUGGGAUUAUAGUUUCAACAUACGAAAUUUGGGAAGCACACAAGCAUUCACUCCAUUGCACAAAUCUUCUGACCCAUCCUAAACUUAUUAGGUUACCUUAUCUCACUAAAUGCAGAAACUACUGGGAGUGAGGCUGCCAUAAAUCUCUUCUGGAGAAUUUUACUGGCCAUAAAGAAGACAGAGAAGACCGCUUGCACCUUCCCCCAUUAAGUAACCUCUCCCCUAUUAGGUAUAUAAACCCCCAUCUUUAGUUGUUUAGAGUCACAUUUUUCUGUGUGCUCCUGCGUGAAUAAAAAUCUAUGUUUUGUCUAAGUUUAAUUCCCAGGCCCUCAAGAACUGAACCUAAGAGGGUAGAGGAAAAGAUUUUCCUCUCCAACAAACAUUACUUACAAAGGUAAGUAAUUUCAUCUUCAUUAAAAACAUGAGAAAACUUA